CAGUAGACGGCGACAUAAUUGGGACGGUUGUGGUUAGGAGAAGAAGAACACGGAAAGGAACCGCCACACGCAGGACGCGAUCCCUGGUCUCCGGGGAGAAGGUCCUGUGUAGUUUAACCAUCCCCCACCCC